CGGACGGGGUGAGUAAUGUCUGGGAAACUGCCUGAUGGAGGGGGAUAACUACUGGAAACGGUAGCUAAUACCGCAUAACGUCGCAAGACCAAAGAGGGGGACCUUAGGGCCUCUUGCCAUCGGAUGUGCCCAGAUGGGAUUAGCUUGUGGUGGGGUAACGGCUCACCAGGCGACGAUCCCUAGCUGGUCUGAGAGGAUGACCAGCCACACUGGAACUGAGACACGGUCCAG
rnacentral:rRNA from 1 species